UACCAUUCCGUAUUUGAGAUUGAAAGGGCAUCCAUGUUGCUGUUGGGCUAGGCAUUGAUAGUCCAGACCCAACUAGUGCACUGUCGAACAGGACAUGAUCGACGUCGUCUAUGUGAGGGCUCAGGCUACUAGACGAGUUGUUCCUCUUCCAAUUCUUCUAUAAAAGUUGCUGGUUGAGGUGCGGGCUAAGGAGGUGGCAUCUGGCAAAGCUAACUUUCUUGCUUUAGAGCAUUCAUCAUACUCCUCAGUGUACGCUUAACUUGUGCCACAUUUUCAAUUAAUGGAUUCUCUAAUUUUAACAAACAAUCAUCGAUUUCGUCCUUAAAGUGGGAGUGG
rnacentral:misc_RNA from 1 species